CUUGAUAUAUCAGGCUAAUAUAUUGAAUUAUUGUCUAUAUCGAACAGUUGUAACAUCUCCUUCGAAAUCCCAUGCGAAAUUAUAGUAUUGUACUACGUGUAUAUCGAACUCCCGUUCACCGUUUCAUUCGAUAUAUACAGAACGCUGCGCCGCGUUGCGCCCCCGCAAGUGCGCUUUUCCUAACAAACUUCGCAUGAUAGGAACUAUUCAUUUUGACGAAGCGGCACUGUUUUGGCCGAUACUGCCAAGGUAUUCAAUAUGAAGGGCAGGACGUGCCGUGGAGGAAAAUUUAGCAAGGCGUGUGUCUCAA
rnacentral:lncRNA from 1 species